AACUUGUGCCUAGUAAAAGGCGAAUUUGCUUUAAACUCGUGCUUAGCGAAAGACGAGUUUACUAAACUCAUGCUGAGACAAAGGCGAGUUUACUGAGAACUCGUGCCUAGUAGAAGGAGAGUUUCUGUACACUCAUGCCUAGCCAAAGACGAGUUUUUGUAAACUCGUGUCUAACGAUAAGCGAGUCGACUGCAAAUUUGUGCCUAAUAACAAGCAAGUUCAAUUUAAACUCGUGCCUAAAAUACAAGUUUACCGAACUAUUGCCGACCCGAAGUCUCGUG
rnacentral:lncRNA from 1 species